CCCUUAGAUGUUCUGGGCCGCACGCGCGCUACACUGAUGCAUUCAACGAGUCUAAAACCUGCUCUGAUAGGGGUGGGUAAUCUUUUGAAUGUGCAUCGUGAUUGGGAUAGAUGAUUGCAAUUUUUCAUCUUCAACGAGGAAUGCCUAGUAAACGCAAGUCAUCAGCUUGCAUUGAUUACGUCCCUGCCCUUUGUACACACCGCCCGUCGCUCCUACCGAUUGAAUGAUCCGAUGAAUAUCAUGGAUUGAGGAUUAUAGCAGGUUCGCCUGUCUUGAUCUUCGAGAAGUGAAGUAAAUCUUAUCAUUUAGAGGAAGGAAAAGUCGUAACA
rnacentral:rRNA from 1 species